GUCCCUGCUCUUUGUACACACCGCCCGUCGCUCCUACCGAUUGAAUGAUCCGGUGAAGUGUUCGGAUCGCGGUGACGUGUGUGGUUUGCCGCCAGCGACGUUGUGAGAAGUCCACUAAACCUUAUCAUUUAGAGGAAGGAGAAGUCGUAACAAGGUUUCCAUAGGUGAACCUGCGGAAGGAUCAUUG
rfam:Brassica napus, WGS project CCCW01000000 data, contig: 36704